AAGUCGUAACAAGGUUUCCGUAGGUGAACCUGCGGAAGGAUCAUUAGUGAUGGCCCUCGGGCCGGCCUCCGGGCCUCCGUCCAAAACCCCUGUGAACUGUGGCCCUCGGGCCGAAUACAAACAUGCGUGUGAUGAACGUCGGCGAUGAUAAACAAACAAAACUUUCAACAACGGAUCUCUUGGCUCUC
rnacentral:misc_RNA from 1 species